GGUUGGGUUUAAAUGGAUGUACAACCACGACGGAGUGUACACAUAGUAAAACAUGUAUGCCUCUUGCAGUCGUACAUGUUGAGUGUGUGAUCUCAGCGUAUCCUGAAGCAUUAAGAACAGAGCUGGGAGAAGAGCGCAGUGUGAGUAAAACUCUUCUGGUGUGUAUAUUGUUUUUGAAAUGUAGGUGUUGGUUUUAUUUUGGUGUUAUAAAUAACAUGACAUUUGUGUGUGAUCUAUUACUCGGCAAAACUAAUUAGUUUUGAUUUGAUUUCUGAGGACUUUAUAUAUUAAACUGCCUCUUCAUUAUGGCUGUUUACUGGUGAGUCACAAAAAGUCACUUUAAUUAAAGAUGAAGUGCAACCGCUUUCAUGGCUUUUCAUACCAGUUCAAGGAAUUGGCCAAGGGCACUUGUUUACUGUUUUUAAUUUCGUACUUAUACAGCUGAAAACUUCGUUUCUUCUGCAUGACUCAGGAAUUUUUUAUUUAUUUGAACCCACAAACUCCACCAAGCUGCCUGAGCAAAUUUAAACUUCAGCUGAAAGUGUCAUUUUAAAGGCCAAACCUUAUCUUGAAACGGGAAUGUUUGUUUUUCCUCAAUGUAAUACAUUUUUAGCUGCUAUUUCUGAACUGCGGCGGUUUCUCUCGGUUAAAAUGAGCUUUAUCUGUAGUUGGAAAGGGUGGUUGUGCUUCGUCAGUAAGGACUUUUCAUUGAGUGUUUGACUGUAGUUCAAGCUGUGCUAAAAAUAUAUAAAAAGGCUGCACACCUCAAACUCCAUGCCAAGGAGAACAAAACACUCAUUCCUCUGGUUUAUUUGGCUCACAUCACAAUAAAUGAUCAUCUAGCACAAGGUCUUUGCUGAAAUGCACCAAGUUCUAUUCAGUAAGAUACACGAGAGCAGAGCCUCAACACAAACACAGAGACGCUGGUUCCAAUUAUUUAGGAAUCAAUCAUCCAUCUCAUCCCAUGGCUCGAGCCUCAGGUGCUUCUGUAGAUAAUUGUAAAGUUUACUGAACAGCGCUUUGUCUUUCUCAAAAGUUCUGCCUAUGGAGGUGUUUGCAGGAAAGCAGCCUGAGUUUGUCAUGGUCUCAUUUUAGACAGUAAUGACAUCGCUGAUUUUAUAAUAACAGGACAAUAAUAAUAAUAAUAACAAUAACUGUUAACAGGAGUCAGAGGAUUUUUAAAGAGAAUAUAGUGUAUAACUGAAUGAACAGUUUUAUGUAAAUGAACCUAAAUGCCAGCAGUAAGAAAAUUUAAUAAAACUCUGACAGAGGUUGGACACAAGCCCAGAUCUGGUUCCCUGCAACUAUUUACUCUGUUCUCUAAUAAUCUGUACUUUUGAAUGAAUGGAUGGCAUUUAUGCAUUUAUUCACGGACUAACCAGCUUGCAGUUCUUUGCCUAGUGCUAGGUAGCUAACUUUAACAUCUGCUUUAAUGUGAGCAAAAAAUUACACCAAGUAUGCAGCCUGUAUUAAAACGUUUCAUUUAACAUCUAAUUUCAACUUAUUUUCAUGGCUCAAUGCACAUUUUUAUCUCCACAUUUGCAGGUCACGUUAACUAGCUAAGUAGCUAGAAUCAACAUCAGAGUCAACCUUAUAUUGCAAGAAAAUGUGCACAUCAGGCAAUCUGACUCUGAUAAACGUUGCUCUCUAUGCACAGACAAUUAUCAUAAAAUAUUAUGCAAAUAUGUAUUUAUAUAUUUUAAACUUUAUUUUUUUCCCAACAAUAUACAGAAACACAAAAAAACACAAGAACAAGAGGGGGCAUACACUACUUUGUAACAUAAAAAUGCCAUUUUGUCCGUCUUACAGCAUACAGUCCUGUUUUAAUUCUAAGACUGUCGGUCAUUUGUCCCAUAGAUUGAAUUUCUUCUACAAUGUCCAGCCAGAGGUUCAGUCCAGGUAGUUCAAUUCUCAGCCAACUUCUAGUAAUGGCCUUCUUAGCUGCAAGAGAUAGGAUCUUGAACAGGUAUAUGUCUUUUUACUUAUUACAUUGUCUGGUAUCAGUUCCAGAUAAAUAAACCCAGGAUCCUCAGGAAAAUUAUAUCCAAUAAUUUCACCCAUAGCUCUUAAAACUUCCUCCCAAAAUGACUGUGUUUUCAUACAUCAUGCAAAUAUUUAAAAGCCAAUAUUGGACAUUUAACUUGUUUAUAAAAGAUUCUGAAAGACAACGCUGCAAUGAGAAGAAGUACAAUGGAGGCUGAAUGGAUAUACACAGAGUUUUGUUACAGACCGGUUUGUUUACAUGAGGUAGAUGUAUUUAUGGUUUUAUUUCUGUAGUCCUGUAACAACUAACCUACUGGUAACUUCACUCAUGAUAACUUUUAUUCCAAAUAAAUUUUUGCUGAGACUUGAAUGAGCACUGUGUGUGUGACUUUUUUUGCCAAAUAACUUUCCUGGAUGUGACUUCAGAGUGAAAACAUUGUGUGAGAACAAGGAGAGUCUUUCCACAGAAGGAACAGAUCAGGCUUUUACUUUCAAAAGUGGCCAGGUAUUCCCUUCAUAGUAUAUGUUACAUGCUAGUGACAUAAAUAUAGCUGAUACAGAGCAAAUUCAGCCUAAAGCCCCAUCAUUUUUCUGCAUAUUUUGGAUGAGAUACACAAAUUGCCAGUGGUCCCAGUGGUCUGAAGGUUUCGAUCUAUUAACAUGCAUGCAAACGUAGAAAUCAAGCCGUCAUGCAUCCAGGCUUAAGCUGCCAUAAAGCAACUCUAAAGCACUAUUGUGACUGAAAACAAACAUUACCACAGACAGUUUUCAAUGCAGCAGUAACAUUCAGCUUUGAUUUCAGCGAAGAAAACCACCAAAUACUAAACUAAGAACAUCUUAUCAGAGAUUACAUAAUAUGAUAUUGAUUUAUUGUUCAGUCUGAAUACACCGUGCCUGAAAAACAUUUUCGCUUCCUUGUUUUGACUCUUUUUAUGUGCCGUGUUUACUUAACACUUACACCUUCUGUCCCCUUUAGAUCUUUUACCCAUGAAGACUAAAAACAAAACUGCUAGACAAGACAGACACCAAACAAUCUCAAGACAAAUGACAGUCCAUCACAGAAGAAAAAGUGACAGUGAGACAGGCAAAGAACAGAAGAAAAAAAAACAGGAAGAAGAGUAAUAGUGGUCCUUUGAGCAGAAGAAACACGUGGUAAAGCUGUCAUGACACACCAGACGGAGACAGAGCAGACAAAGCUCAGAAGAGUACAGAGUGGAAAGACUGGCAUUAAAACCCUUCACACGUCACCACAAAUUAUGGCUUCACACAACAAGACGGGGGAAAUGGAAACCC